rnacentral:snoRNA from 1 species
ACCCUCCAAAUUCCUUAUUCAUCAGAUGUAAGCACUGGUCUGAAUGUCUACAAAAGGAGAAAAAAUAAAACUGAAAUGGAUUUGUAUUCCUAUGUGAAAUACACAUGGAUUUUCAAACAAGC